AGGGUGAAAAGUACUAGGAACUGGAACUAGAAGAAUUGAAGAAAGCCCCCAAGUUCAAGGCCAAGCCACUGAACAAAAAGAUUCUUGAGAGGAAGGGCGGUAUUGGUGUUUUUGCCCAUCCGAAGGUCCAGGCAACAGAGCCCAAGGAGUUCCAUUUUCGUACUGACGACCUCUUGGGACCUCCUGCAGUUGCGGAUCUUCUCGACAAGCUUUCUCUGUACUCUGAAUCUUCUUCCUACAAUGACAAGAGAGAUAUGCCGAGACUGACGAUACCCAAACCUUUCAAUCUACAUACAGAUAUAUGGAAGAUCUAAAAGCCUCUGUGAAAGAUUUUUGGUUCUGUAGAAGCAAAUGAUCUGGCACACUGAGACCUUAAUUUCUGG